rnacentral:lncRNA from 10 species
UUCAGGGCGAUCAUCUUGCCCAGAAACAUCAUGUUGAAACUCUUGGUCAGAGGUUGGAUGAAAGCUGACAGGGUCCAUCCAGGAGCAAGUUUGAGCCUUGCCAGUUCCAUUUUGGGUGCUGAGUGGAGUGGCGACUAUAGCAAACCUGUGAUCUCUGGCUGCUGCUCAGAAGAAACAAGAGGGAGGGAUGAAUAAUGUAAAACUCUGGAUCAAUAUUCUAAUUCUGAGCCUCUAUUGGAAUCAGCUAGCAACCACAUAUCAGCUUGGUUUCAACAGUUUCCCAGUUCAUGCUGCUGAGAAGUUCAGAGUCAAACCUGAAUCUCACCUCUGCAAAGAGCACAGGACUCCAUGGCAAACGUUGUAUAUACGCAAGUCAUCCCUGGCACCACAUUGAUUUACUGCACCAGGCUUUCUUCAUUGUGAUGAUGUUCUCUCUCUUUUCUAAAAAAAAAAUAAAAAUAAAAUUUAAAAAA